rnacentral:rRNA from 1 species
AUAGAUAAAUGUAAAGAUUAAGAUGAAUAAAUAUUUUAAGUAUAAUUUUUAUAUAAAUUUAUAAAAUUUAUAAUUAUUUGAGUGUAUAGUACUGUGAGGGAAUAUAUAAAUUUUUUUGUUUAUAAAUAGUGAAUAAGAGAUAUAUAUGUACCUUUUGUAUUAGGGGUUUAUAAUAAAAUUUUUUUUUAAAAAUUUCCCGAAUAGUAUAGAGUUAAUAGGAUAUAAUUUACUUUAUUGUAAAAAUGUGAUAAAUUUCCUGUUUGGGGUGAAAUGUUAUACAAUAUGCUGGAUAUCUGGUUAAAAUAAAUAACUUUAGGUGAUUCAUUUUGUUUUCUAUUGAUUGUUGAAAUGGAGUAAAUAUUUAGGGAUAAGCUUUAGUAUAAACUAUAUAUAUAUAUAUAAAAUUUGGUGUUAGAGAUUUAAUAGUGUUUGUGUAUUGUAAUAAAUAAAUAUGGUGUUUUAUAGGGUUAGUUAAUAAUAUAAUAUUUUUAGUAAAUUUAAGUUAAGAUAAAUGAUGUAAAUAUGAGUAUAAUAGAAAAUUAUGGGAUAUUUGAUGUUGAAGAAUUCGGCAAAUUUAAAUUUUGAAUGUUUAACAAAAACAUUUCUUUAUGGAUAAUUUAAAGUAUAUUCUGCUCAAUGAUAAAUUUUAAUUGCCGUGGUAUAUUAACUAUGCGAAGGUAUUGAAAUAAGGCUUUAAUUGGGUUCUAAGAGAAGGGAUGAACAAAGUUUAUCUAUUUGAGCUACAAUAUUAAAAUUUUUGUUUAAAAUGAAGAUAUUUUAAUAAAAAAAUGGGACGAGAAGACCCUAUAAAUCUUUACUUAAAAGGUAACUAAUUGUAUAGGAGAUGUUGAUAAGUUUAAUUGGGGCGAUUAAAAAAUAAUUUUUAACUUUAUAUGGAACCUUUAAUAGACGGUUGUAAGAAUAAGAUACUUUAGGGAUAACAGCAUAAUUAUUUUUGAUAGUUCAUAUUGACAAAAUAGUUUGUGACCUCGAUGUUGGAUUAAUAAACCUUUUUAAUGAAGAAGUUAAAAUAGGGGGUUUGUUCAACCUUUAAAUUAUUACAUGAUCUGAGUUCAGACCGGCGUGAGUCAGGUUAGUUUCUAUCUAUUUUAAAAUUGUUUUUAAAUGUUAGUACGAAAGGAAUACUUUUAUAUAAGUUUUAUUAAAAUUGUUGU